rnacentral:lncRNA from 1 species
AAAUUUUCUAUUUUGUGAUCAGUAAUGAUCUCUAGUUCUUCUUUGGUCAUAAAGUCCUUCCCCUUCCACAGGUCUGAGAGGUAAACUAUCCUGUGUUCCUCUAAUUUAUUAAUAAUUUCAUUCUUUAUGCCUAGGUCAUGAACCCAUUUUGACCUUAUCUUGGUGUAUGGUGUUAAGUGUGGAUCAAUGCCUAGUUUCUGCCAUAUUAGUUUCGAAUUUUCCCAGCAAUUUUUAUCAAACAGUAAGUUCUUAUCCCAAAAGCUGGGGUCUUUGGGUUUGUCAAAGACUAGGUGGCUAUAGUUGUUGACUAUUUUAUCCCUUGAAUCUAACCUGUUCCACUGAUCAACUAAUCUAUUCCUUAGCCAAUACCAAAUGGUUUUGGUAACUGCUGCUCUAUAAUAUAAUUUUAGAUCUGGUACAGCUAAGCCACCUUCUUUGAUUUUUUUUUCAUUAAUUCCCUUGAAAUUCUUGACCUUUUGUUUUUCCAUAUGAAUUUUGUUGUUAUUUUUUCUAGGUCAUUAAAAUAGUUUUUUGGGACUCUGAUUGGUAUAGCACUAAAUAGAUUAGUUUAGGUAAUAUUGUCAUCUUUAUUAUAUUUGCUCGCCCUAUCCAAGAGCAUUUAAUAUCUUUCCAAUUGGUUAGAUCAGACUUAAUUUGUGUGAAAAGUGGUCUGUAAUUUUGCUCAUAAAGUUUCUGAUUUUCCCUUGGCAGAUAGAUUCCUAAAUAUUUUAUGUUAUCAGUAGUUACUUUAAAUGGAAUUUCUCUUUGUAACUCUGACUGUUGGAUUUUGUUAGUGAUAUAUAAGAAUGCUGAUGACUUAUGUGGGUUUAUUUUAUAACCAGCAACUUUGCUAAAGUUGUGGAUUGUUUCUAAUAACUUUUUAGUAGAAUCUCUGGGGUUCUCUAAGUAUACCAUCAUGUCGUCGGCAAAGAGUGAUAAUUUGGUUUCCUCAUUGCCUAUUCUUAUUCCUUUAAUCUCCUUCUCAGCUCUUAUUGCCAAAGCUAGCGUUUCUAAUACAAUAUUAAAUAGUAACGGUGAUAGUGAGCAACCUUGUUUCACUCCAGAUCUUAUUGGGAAUGGUUGCAGUUUGAGACUCCC